rnacentral:piRNA from 1 species
UCCCAGGAUGAUAAUCUGUGCCGAGACAAC